GAUCCUGGCUCAGGACGAACGCUGGCGGCGUGCCUAACACAUGCAAGUCGUACGAGGGCAGUCCUUCGGGACUGACCCGAGUGGCGGACGGGUGAGUAACACGUGACCAAUCUGCCUUGGAGAGGGGGAUAACCUGGGGAAACUCGGGCUAAUACCGCAUGACGUGUCGUGCUCGCAUGGGCGUGACACCAAAGGGAGGCCUCUACUUGUAAGCUUCCGCUCUGAGAGGAGGUCGCGGCGUAUCAGCUAGUUGGUAGGGUAACGGCCUACCAAGGCUACGACGCGUAGCGGGUCUGAGAGGACGACCCGUCACAUUGGGACUGAGAUACGGCCCAGACUCCUACGGGAGGCAGCAGUGGGGAAUAUUGCGCAAUGGUCGAAAGACUGACGCAGCGACGCCGCGUGUGGGAGGAAGCCCUUCGGGGUGUAAACCACUGUCGGGGGGGACGAAUCUCGGACGGGCAAAUAGCCCGGACGGCUGACGGUACCCCCAAAGGAAGCACCGGCUAACUCCGUGCCAGCAGCCGCGGUAAGACGGAGGGUGCAAGCGUUGUUCGGAAUUACUGGGCGUAAAGCGCGGGCAGGUGGCCUUUUAAGUCCUUUGUGAAAUCCCGGAGCUCAACUCCGGAUCUGCAUAGGAUACUGGAAGGCUAGAGACUGGUAGAGGCGAGCGGAAUUCCUGGUGUAGCGGUGGAAUGCGUAGAUAUCAGGAAGAACACCGGUGGCGAAGGCGGCUCGCUGGGCCAGUUCUGACACUCAUCCGCGAAAGCGUGGGGAGCAAACAGGAUUAGAUACCCUGGUAGUCCACGCCCUAAACGAUGUCAACUGGUUGUUGGGUCUUCACUGACUCAGUAACGAAGCUAACGCGUGAAGUUGACCGCCUGGGGAGUACGGCCGCAAGGUUGAAACCCAAAGGAAUUGACGGGGACCCGCACAAGCGGUGGAUGAUGUGGUUUAAUUCGAUGCAACGCGAAAAACCUUACCCACCUUUGACAUGUACGGAAUUUGCCAGAGAUGGCUUAGUGCUCGAAAGAGAGCCGUAACACAGGUGCUGCAUGGCUGUCGUCAGCUCGUGUCGUGAGAUGUUGGGUUAAGUCCCGCAACGAGCGCAACCCUUGUCAUUGGUUGCUACAUUUAGUUGGGCACUCUAAUGAGACUGCCGGUGAUAAACCGGAGGAAGGUGGGGAUGACGUCAAGUCCUCAUGGCCCUUAUAGGUGGGGCUACACACGUCAUACAAUGGCCGGUACAAAGGGUUGCCAACCCGCGAGGGGGAGCUAAUCCCAUAAAACCGGUCGUAGUCCGGAUCGCAGUCUGCAACUCGACUGCGUGAAGUCGGAAUCGCUAGUAAUCGUGGAUCAGAAUGUCACGGUGAAUACGUUCCCGGGUCUUGUACACACCGCCCGUCACACCAUGGGAGCGGGUUCUGCCAGAAGUAGUUAGCCUAACCGCAAGGAGGGCGAUUACCACGGCAGGGUUCGUGACUGGGGUGAAGUCGGAACAAGGUA
rnacentral:rRNA from 1 species